rnacentral:lncRNA from 1 species
CUCGUCUACCAGCUCCCAAAGUAUAAACUUUCCAACGUGCCUGCGGUGCCGUGGACUCACUUCCAAGAGACAACCAGGCCAGGUCAAAUCCAGUUAGUAACAAGGUUUCUAGGAUGGUCUCAUCCCCAUCCCAGCUUUUCCUGAGGUACCAAUGGUGGGACGCAGAAUAACACCUGGUAAAACUCCAGCUGGCUUUCUCGGGGAACAGACACCAUGAAAACACAGUCCUGCUCCCAGAGGAGUGAAGUUGGAAGAUCAGACCAAUAUGUGAGACUCCCUCUUCAGCCCCAGCCUCACAUCGCGGGACACACUGCUGUGCAUGGACGAGGGGCAGCGGCAGGGUCACGUGGAAGGGGAAAACCUUGUCACCAACACCAGGCUACGAAUUCCACCACUGAGCUUCCAUUUAGCUUUCUUUCCAUCACUUUGGGGAUGUAAGUUCACCAGCGCUAUUAAAAUGUUUAAAAAACAAACAAACAACACAUUUCUGUAAGAACGGCUCCUCUCACAAAGGGCUUACGUCAACCCUGUGGUCACUAAAGCUCACAGAGAAGGCUGAUUCCAGAGAACGAACACAGCAUGGCGGGGAAAAGAGAAGACCCCACGGGGGGAGCCACCCCACCAUGCCUUCUAUUUUCCACGAGCAUUUGUUCAAAAAUUAUUCCCACCGUGCGGCCAUCUUGGGUUGAGAAGAGGCGACAUUCAGCAUUUCGUGGAGCCCAAUACGGAGAAGGAAAUUGUGCUUUGAAACAGAUGUAAGUAAAAUC